GAGUGAACGCUGGCGGUCGGCCUACCACCUGCAAGUCGAACGGCAGCCCAGUAAGAGCUUGCUCUUACGGGUGGCGAGUGGCGGACGGGUGAGGAAUACAUCGGAAUCUACUUUUUCGUGGGGGAUAACGUAGGGAAACUUACGCUAAUACCGCAUACGACCUACGGGUGAAAGCAGGGGAUCUUCGGACCUUGCGCGAUUGAAUGAGCCGAUGUCGGAUUAGCUAGUUGGCGGGGUAAAGGCCCACCAAGGCGACGAUCCGUAGCUGGUCUGAGAGGAUGAUCAGCCACACUGGAACUGAGACACGGUCCAGACUCCUACGGGAGGCAGCAGUGGGGAAUAUUGGACAAUGGGCGCAAGCCUGAUCCAGCCAUACCGCGUGGGUGAAGAAGGCCUUCGGGUUGUAAAGCCCUUUUGUUGGGAAAGAAAAGCAGCAGGUUAAUACCCCGCUGUUCUGACGGUACCCAAAGAAUAAGCACCGGCUAACUUCGUG
rnacentral:rRNA from 1 species